rnacentral:lncRNA from 1 species
GGGGCAGAUAACAUAAUCUUGGAAUGGGAUUUGAAAACAAUAAUCUCUUGGACUAACAGCCAGAUGGAUUGAAAGGUGAAUGCAUACCUAAUCGAUUCUCACUUCCUUUGAAGCCAAUCAUGUAGACAAGAAGGUGAAUAGUAUAGUUGAUUGGUUUGCCGCUCAUAUGGCCAAUAACAUUGGGGCUAUUUUAUGGGAGUCUAUAGCCGCUAUCCU